rnacentral:rRNA from 1 species
UACGUAGGGAGCAAGCGUUGUUCGGAUUUACUGGGCGUAAAGGGCGCGUAGGCGGCGCGGUAAGUCACUUGUGAAAUCUCUGAGCUUAACUCAGAACGGCCAAGUGAUACUGCAGUGCUAGAGUGCAGAAAGGGCAAUCGGAAUUCUUGGUGUAGCGGUGAAAUGCGUAGAUAUCAAGAGGAACACCUGAGGCGAAGGCGGCUUCCUGGACCUGUUCUGACGCUGAGGAGCGAAAGCGUGGGGAGCGAACGGG